CAAGCAUUGUGUGGCUCCUGGCUGCCAGAGAGCAGAGUGUGGACAGCUUGGAGUGCUUUGGGUCUAAGGUAUGCUGAAUCCAGUGCCAGCCAUCUUGGCAGCUCUGAGGGUGGCUGUUUGAAGCAGGAGGGGACCAGGGCCACUCAGCAAGGUCCCUGUCAUCAGAAGUCUUAAGCCUUGGCUGGCUCCUCUGUGGUGGCAACUACCUUGUCAAAACCCUCUGGAGCUCUGGAGCUCUCUCAAUAAAAUCCUUACUACUGUUCAAAUAGUGCCUAGUAAACACGUCUGGUAGUGCCAGGGAGGUGGCUUAGUAGGCAAGGGCACCUGCUGCCAAGACUAUUGGUGUGAGUUCAAUCCCUGGAAUCCACGGUGGAAGAACAGAACCAAUCCUCUCAGGCUGGCCUCUGCCUCUGCGAAGGCACCCAGGCAUGAACUUGGCCAGACCUGUCUCUGCCCAUCUCAAAUAAAUAAGUGGGUACAAACAAAUAAACAAGUGAAAAAGAGAGAAGCUGUAAAAAACAAAAAGGCAGUGGUGGCACAUGCCUUUAAUCCUAGCAUUUGAAGGCAGAGGAUUUCUGAGUUCGAGGCUAGCCUCAAAAAACCAAAAGCAACAACAACAACAAAAAACUACUAGAACUGUUAAGAGGAUGAGGCAAGAAAACUGAAAUAAACCUAAAAGCACAGCCCCCUGUGAUUGGAAGCUCUCUGAAAAGGCCACACACGUGUUGAAGAUUCCUAAGACUGCAGAUGCUAAUUCCAGCUUGUGAAGAACUGGAGACUGAGAGCCAAGUGAUCUUCGAUGCUUAGACCUGUUAAUGGCCAGCCACUUCCUGUCCAUGUCUAUAUCUGAUCUGACAUCCUUUUUGACUAUUAGGUAAAAACCUUUGGAAUGUAUUAGUUUAGCAGACUAUCACCUUCCACCAACGCAAUAAUUAAGAGUGUCGUCAGAUAGCAUGUAAAAACCUAAAACAGGGCUGUACAUGGUGACAGAUGCCUGUCAUCCCAGCACGUGGGAGGUAGAGGCUGAGGAUCAGGACUUAGUUCAAGGUCAUCCUUGGCUAUGUCACAGAGUUUGAGGCCAGUGUGGUCUCAUGAGACCCUGUCUCAAAAAACAAACGAAUGGAUAGCAGAGCUUUCUCUGCUCUGCUGCAGCCCACCUACUGCUGCCCCCACCAAUGCAUUUGAUAAACGAGUUGAUUUAUGGCUGUCAUUUCAGCUGACUAUUAAUGUUCACAGAAACAUUUCCAUGGUGUAAUAUGGCAUUCAAGGCAACCUGAAUCUGUGUUUCUUGAGCUAUAAUUCACAUUUUGGAUCAGAGUAAACUCAUUUCCCUUUGGGGUAAGAUUUCUAUUUUGCAUCAACACCCCUGUUUUCUGCGGCGUUGCUUUGUUCCGACAACUCCAGUAUGUGCUGAAACUGCCUAUAAUACCCGACCUUAACAAUAUUGUUUUCUAUGCAGAUCUGUGACAAGCUUAAAUCAGGCACAGUAAGUGAUUGGAAAAAUGACUAAUAAAAAGAGAAUAAUUAUCACCAUAUUGCACAAAACAUAUUUAAAGUAUGAAUUUUAGAUUUCUAUUUGGCAUGUGUGCAUGUACAUGUCCAUUGGAGACAGAGACUUUGGCUGACCCAGGGCUGGGGUGGAGGGGACCCACUGCAUGAGAAUCAGCUGCAGACUGCUUCCUACCUUUCAUCAGCUUGUCCUCCCUCAUCUUCUGGAACCUUGGCACCCUACAUCUGGGCAGCGACAUGGUGCCUGAGGCUAAGUGUGCAGGGUGAAAAAAAACAAAAAAAAGGAAAAAAAAAGAAAUUGCUAGCCACCCUUAUGGUGUGGGCCGGAACUGUCAAGUGUCACUUCCACCAUACUUUCUUAAUUAAAGUGAAGUGAAGGGUGAGCCCACAUAACUGGAGGUACCACAUGAGGUUGUGGGUACCAGCAGAUGUGGUCUCGUGGGGUAAUCUUCCAGUGCUAGCUACUUCUUUAGGGAAGGCUGCCUACACACUGAAGUUGUAGCUAUGAGAUGUAGUCAUGGAGUUUAGAAAUG
rnacentral:lncRNA from 1 species